ACCAAAAUAUUAGCAAACAAAAAUAUCCCCCGAAAUACGAAAAAUCUAAUAUUCACCAUAGGUUUGUACAGUGUAGGCCAAAAAAUAGGUGCUCUACAAAAGUUCUUUAAAAAAACAUUUUUACAUUGAAGCCACAGAAUAUACCAUACUCAAAUUGAUCUUUGAUAAUCCAGGCCUACUUUCCUGCAAUUGGUUUUUUAUUAAUUGUUAUGCUUUUUCCUUAAAAAGUGAUACAAAAAUUAAUUUUUCCCAUCAAUUCCCGCCAUUGGUACUUUUCUCACGUAGAGGGAGCUUCACACAAUAACAAACGAAUCAAAGUAACAGUAGAAACUAAACAAACAAAAGUAGAUUCAUUCCAGCGGGCAGUCAGCUCUUAUUAUUCAUUUAAAUGAAAAUUCAUGCAAAGGACCUGGAAAAUCUGCAGAAAUAAACCCUAGGACUACUCUGACCAACGGAGGUUGGUGGUUUGGCAGUUGCAGGCUUAAGAAACUUGCUGACCAUCCUGGGUACAACCCCAACAGUCAAUGCCUCUAGCUACGACAGGCACAUAGCCACUUUUAAAUCGAUAUCUCAAGAGACCAGCGAGGAACACAUGAAGAGGGCGGCGGUAUGCCUACAACAAAGGGCAAUGGACAAGGACCCGACCAUCAGG